rnacentral:rRNA from 1 species
AUUGAACGCUGGCGGCAGGCCUAACACAUGCAAGUCGAGCGAGCGGCGGACGGGUGAGUAAUGUCUGGGAAACUGCCUGAUGGAGGGGGAUAACUACUGGAAGCGGUAGCUAAUACCGCAUACCAUCUGAUGUGCCCAGAUGGGAUUAGCUGGUAGGUGGGGUAACGGCUCACCUAGGCGACGAUCCCUAGCUGGUCUGAGAGGAUGACCAGCAACACUGGAACUGAGACAAGGUCCAGACUCCUAAGGAAGGCAGCAGUGGGGAAUAUUACACAAUGGGCGCAAGCCGGAUACAGCAAUGCCGCGUGUGUGAAGAAGGCCUUCGGGUUGUAAAGCACUAUCAGCGGGGAGGCGUUACCCGCAGGAGAAGCACCGGCUAACUCCGUGCCAGCGGCCGCGGUAAUUC